AUUGAACGCUGGCGGCAUGCUUUACACAUGCAAGUCGAACGGCAGCACGGACUUCGGUCUGGUGGCGAGUGGCGAACGGGUGAGUAAUACAUCGGAACGUACCCAGUAAUGGGGGAUAACUAUCCGAAAGGAUAGCUAAUACCGCAUACGCCCUACGGGGGAAAGAGGGGGAUCGCAAGACCUCUUGUUAUUGGAGCGGCCGAUGGCUGAUUAGCUAGUUGGUAGGGUAAAGGCCUACCAAGGCAACGAUCAGUAGCGGGUCUUAGAGGACGAUCCGCCACACUGGAACGGAGACACGGUCCAGACUCCUACGGGAGGCAGCAGUGGGGAAUCUUGGACAAUGGGCGCAAGCCUGAUCCAGCAAUGCCGCGUGCGUGAAGAAGGCCUUCGGGUUGUAAAGCGCUUUUGUCAGGGAGCAAAUCCUUGUGGCUAAUACCCACCGGGGCUAAUGACGGUACCGUAAGAAUAAGCACCGGCUAACUACGUGCCAACCGCCGCCGUAACAC
rnacentral:rRNA from 1 species